rnacentral:rRNA from 1 species
AGUCACUGCUAUCCGGAUCCGACUAAGCCAUGCAAGUUUUGGUGUUCAAUUCUGGACACCAGGGCGGAAAGCUCAGUAACACGUAGUCAACCUGCCCUUAGGUCUGGGAUAAUCUCGGGAAACUGAGGCUAAUACCAGAUAGGUAAGAAAUACUGGAAUGUAUUCUUAUCCAAAGCUUCGGCGCCUAAGGAUGGGACUGCGACGGAUUAGGUUGUUGCUAGGAUAAUACCCUGGCAAGCCGAUAAUCUGUACGAGCCUUGAGAGAGGAAGCUCGGAGAUGGAUUCUGAGACAAGAAUCCAGGCCCUACGGGGCGCAGCAGGCGCGAAACUUUCCCAAUGCACGCAAGUGUGAGGAAGGGAUCUGGAGUGUCUUCUCUUAUUGGGGGAGACUUUUGUGGUGUGUAAACAGCUCCACGAAUAAGUGGUGGGUAAGACGGGUGCCAGCCGCCAUGCUUGUAGCAUAUUUAUAUGUUCCUUGCACGGUAAGCGGUAAUACCCGCGCCACGAGUGGUGACCACGUUUAUUGGGCUUAAAGCGUUCGUAGCCGGUUCGGCAAGUCUCUAGUGAAAUCCCAUAGCAAACUAUGGGGCUUGCUAGGGAUACUUCCGAACUUGGGACCGGGAGAGGUCGAGGGUAUUCCAGGGGUAGGGGUAAAAUCCUGUAAUCCCUGGCGGACCAUCUGUGGCGAAGGCGCUCGACCAGAACGGAUCCGACGGUGAGGGACGAAAGCCAGGGGAGCAAAGGGGAUUAGAUACCCCUGUAGUCCUGGCUGUAAACGAUGCCCACUAGACAUUGGCAAUCUUAUGCGGGUUGUCAGUGCCGUAGCGAAAGUGUUAAGUGGGCCGCCUGGGGAGUACGGUCGCAAGGCUGAAACUUAAGGGAAUUGGCGGGGGAGCACACAAGGGGUGGAGGCUGCGGUUU